rnacentral:tRNA from 3 species
AGAGUAAGAGGAAAAUCCGUCGACUUUAUAAAUCGUGAGGGUUCAAGU